rnacentral:rRNA from 1 species
AUACGUAGGUGGCAAGCGUUGUCCGGAAUUAUUGGGCGUAAAGGGCGCGUAGGCGGCGUCUUAAGUCAGAUGUGAAAACCCCGGGCUCAACCUGGGAACUGCAUCUGAUACUGGGAUGCUAGAGUGCAGGAGAGGUAAGUGGAAUUCCUAGUGUAGCGGUGAAAUGCGUAGAUAUUAGGAGGAACACCAGUGGCGAAGGCGACUUACUGGACUGUAACUGAUGCUGAGGCGCGAAAGCGUGGGGAGCAAACAGGAUUAGAUCCCCUGGUAGUCCACGCUGUAAACGAUGGAUCCUAGGUGUGGGAGGUAUCGACCCCUUCCGUGCCGCAGUAAACGCAAUAAGUAUCCCGCCUGGGGAGUACGGCCGCAAGGUUGA